rnacentral:rRNA from 1 species
GCUUACACAUGCAAGUCGUGGGGCUCAUGAUGUAGUAAUACAUUGAUGGCGACCGGCGCACGGGUGAGUAACGCGUAUCCAACCUACCCUCCACUCAAGUAUAGGCUUCCGAAAGGGAGGUUAAUCCUUGAUAUCGUCAUUCUCUCUCCUGUUAGAAUGAUAAAAGGACAUCGUUUCGGUAGAGGAUGGGGAUGCGUUCCAUUAGGUAGUAGGUGGUUUAACAGGCCACCUAGCCGAUGAUGGAUUAGGGGUUCUGAGAGGAAUAUCCCCCACACUGGUACUGAGAUACGGACCAGACUCCUACGGGAGGCAGCAGUGGGGAAUAUUGCACAAUGGAGGGAACUCUGAUGCAGCAACGCCGCGUGAAGGAAGAAGGUCUUCGGAUCGUAAACUUCUGUCCAAAAGGAAGAAGGAAGUGACGGUACUUUUGGAGGAAGCCCCGGCUAACUA